CAUUAUUGAGUUCCAAACGUAGAGGACGAUGGCUGUGCGCCCUUGGCUGCACGCGGUGGUCCGAUACACUGACACUCUGUGCACCUUUUGACCCGCAUAUAUUGUGCUGGGUCCUUACACACACACACACACUUUACUCAAGAAUGUAAAUACAAAAUGAUGACAACUUUCAACAACGGAUCUCUUGGCUCUCGCAUCGAUGAAGAACGCAGCGAAAUGCGAUAAGUAAUGUGAAUUGCAGAAUUCAGUGAAUCAUCGAAUCUUUGAACGCACCUUGCGCCCUUUGGUAAUCCGAGGGGCAUGCCUGUUUGAGUGUCUUGAAGCUCUCAAAUGUAUAUUUUUACAUUUGGACGUGGGUGUGGUGCCGGUCGCAAGAUUGGCUCGCCCUAAACACAUUAGCUGGCUUUUUUUAAAUUGAGGUCCGCAGAAACUCGGUGUGAUAAUUGUCACUCGCUGAGGGGGGCCUUUUUGAAAAGCUGCUUCGAGUCGUCUUGUGAAAGAGACAAAUCAUCUCAGUGUUUGACCUCAAAUCAGGUAGGACUACCCGCUGAACUUAA
rnacentral:rRNA from 1 species